rnacentral:rRNA from 1 species
UACAGAGGGGGCAAGCGUUGUUCGGAAUUACUGGGCGUAAAGGGCGCGUAGGCGGCCUGUUAAGUCGAACGUGAAAUCCCCGGGCUCAACCCGGGAACUGCGUCCGAUACUGGAAGGCUUGAAUCCGGGAGAGGGAUGCGGAAUUCCAGGUGUAGCGGUGAAAUGCGUAGAUAUCUGGAGGAACACCGGUGGCGAAGGCGGCACGCUGGACCGGCAUUGACGCUGAGGCGCGAAAGCCAGGGGAGCAAACAGG